AAAAAGUUAGUUUAAUAAAAAUAUUAGUUUGUCAAACUAAAGAUAUUAAUUUAAUACUUUUUA
rnacentral:tRNA from 1 species